rnacentral:rRNA from 1 species
GUGGGGAAUCUUGCGCAAUGGCGAAAGCCUGACGCAGCCAUGCCGCGUGAAUGAUGAAGGUCUUAGGAUUGUAAAAUUCUUUCACCGGGGACGAUAAUGACGGUACCCGGAGAAGAAGCCCCGGCUAACUUCGUGCCCGCCGCCGCGGUAAUACGAAGGGGGCUAGCGUUGCUCGGAAUUACUGGGCGUAAAGGGCGCGUAGGCGGACAGUUUAGUCAGAGGUGAAAGCCCAGGGCUCAACCUUGGAAUUGCCUUUGAUACUGGCUGUCUUGAGUACGGGAGAGGUGAGUGGAACUCCGAGUGUAGAGGUGAAAUUCGUAGAUAUUCGGAAGAACACCAGUGGCGAAGGCGACUCACUGGCCCGUUACUGACGCUGAGGCGCGAAAGCGUGGGGAGCAAACAGGAUUAGAAACCCGGGUAGUCC